UACGUAGGGUCCGAGCGUUGUCCGGAAUUAUUGGGCGUAAAGGGCUCGUAGGCGGUUUGUCGCGUCGGGAGUGAAAACCUACAGCUUAACUGUGGGCUUGCUUCCGAUACGGGCAGACUUGAGGCAUGCAGGGGAGAACGGAAUUCCUGGUGUAGCGGUGAAAUGCGCAGAUAUCAGGAAGAACACCCGUGGCGAAGGCGGUUCUCUGGGACGGUACUGACGCUGAGACGCGAAAGCGUGGGGAGCGAACAGG
rnacentral:rRNA from 1 species